GCCCACAUAGCUCAGUUGGUAGAGCACCUCUUUGGUAAAGAGGAGGUCACCAGUUCGAAUCUGGUUGUGGGCU
rnacentral:tRNA from 1 species